GUUUUCCAGGGUUGGAAUUAUGCCCCUGGCCAGUGGUGACUCAUAGUUCUCCCUGAGACCAACCUCUGCCCAGACUGUGAAAGGACUUGAAUAUCUUCUGUUGCUGAGUUCCUUCUGGAGAGAAACUACAUGUUACCUUCUAUUGAGCUGCCUCGCCAUAGAUCUCCUGCCUUGAUUGCCAGAAUCACCCAUGAAGCUGGAUUAUGAGCUCCCAUGAAACCAGACUCAUCACUCAAACUGAGCCUUGGUUUGUGACCCCAGACAGCAUUUCCCAGCAUGAUCACCCAACCUACCCAGCAGACUGCUCCAAAUGGCUUAGAACUGUUUUCAAAACUCACAUCCUCCCUGUGAGGAUACAUGCUGUCAGAAUUAUCUUUCUGAAACACAUCUCAGAUCAUGUGCUUCAGUAGCUCUCAGUUGCAUAGAUAAUUAAGCCUCAACUUCUCAGCCUGAUUUUCAAAACUUUAUUAUACAACCCCCAGUCAGCCUUCCAGUUCUGUCAUCAACCAGCAGUCUCCUAUGAACACACGAUGCCCUCUCUAGUUACCAAUGAAAGGUACCAUUUACUGAGCUCUUAUUAUGUGCCCCACACUGCACUAAAAGCUUUAAACAAUAUCUCAUUUUAUCCUUAUAGGAUUUUGUAGGAUGAAUAUUAUCUCUAUAGUACAAAUAAUAAAACAAUGAUUGCUAGCUCUUUUUAUAGUGCUUACAAUGUGCUAAGGUAUUGUUCUAUAGAAAUAAGUGUGCCACAAAUGUAAUUUUACGUUUUUCAUAGUCACAUUAAAAAGUAAAAAGAAACAAGUGAAGCUGAUUUUGUCAAGGAGCAUGUAAUUAACAUAAAAAAUAAUUAAUGGGAUAUUCCACAUUUUCUUUUUUUUUUUUUGGUACUAAAUCAUUAAAAUCAGUGUGUAUUUUACACCUAUAACAUAUCUCAAUUUGGAUGCUAAACUUUCACUGGAAAUAUUUGAAUUCCAAUGAAAUCAACACAAUAAAUACUGUGUUUAUAUUUUAAAAAAUGCACGGUAAGAAAAAAGUAGAUUGCACACCCAAGUUGUUACAAACAUAUCUGGAAGAAUCAAGUACCAAAAAGUCAUUUCCUUUUCUAUUCUCAUCCAAAUUGUUAAAAUUCCUUGGAUUUAACAUUUUAAAUUUCACUUUCAAUCAAUUAAAACAGUUAAAAUUUUAGUUUCUGAUGUUGCACUAGCCACAUUUCAAGCCUCAGUAGCCACAUGUGGCUGUGGCUGCCAUGCUGGACAGCACAGCUCUAAGCACUUUACUACUAUGAGGUAGGUGCUGUUAUUAUCUUCACUUCAUUCUCAGCAAACUAACAAAAGAACAGAAAACCAAACACUGCAUGUUCUUACCGCAUUGUUCAAGUGGGAGUUGAACAAUGAGAACACAUUCACAAGGAGGGGAACAUCACACACCGGGGCUUGUCGGUGGGGGUGGGGGGCUAGGCGAGGGACAGCAUUAGGAGAAAUACCUAAUGUACACCUAUGUAACAAACCUGCACGUUCUGCACAUGUAUCCCAGAACUUAAAGUAUAAUUUAAAAAAAAAAGAAAAGAAAAGAAAAGAAAAGAAAUAGAGGCACAGAAAGUUGUAACUUGCAUUAGUGCACUCAGCUGACAAACUGCACGGUUUCAUUUGUCAGAAUGCUUUCAUUUGCUCAGAAUGGUUAAUUUGUCCAAGGUGACUUUGCUAAUAAGGGUUAGAGCCAGGAGUUGAACUCAGGAUUAAGUUCGUAGCCUAAGUUUUUGCCAUGAUGCUCAUUGCUCUACCCAUUUAAUUGCUCGCUAUUAUCCUAAAAUCCUUAAUUGAUGCUGGUCUUUUUUGUCAGACUGUUACCUCUGUCUGUAUUGCCUUGCAAGGUCCAUUUUAAGUAUCAUUCAUUCACCCAUUUAUUCACUCAGUAAGUUAAUUGCUUUUUCCAGCAAAUACUGUUAGCCGUUUUUCAAAUAUCUGCCACGUAGACAAUAGCUAUGAACAAAAUAAGGCAGACACGGCCUCUGCCCACACAGAACUUUUAGUUUAACAGCACUUAACUUUUAAAUCUCCAGACCCUAUAACACUCUAAAAAUUGUUGAGGACCCCCAAGAGCUUUUGGCUAUGUAGCUUAUAGCUAUUAAUAUUUAUUGUAAUAGAAAUUAAAACUAGGACAUUUUAAAAACAUUUAUUUAUACAUUCAUUUAAAGAUAACAUAAUAUGGCUGGGUGUGGUGGUUCACACCCGUAAUCCCAGCACUUUGGGAGGCUGAGGCAGGUGGAUACUUGAGGCCAGGAGUUUGAAAACAGCCUGACCAACAUGGUGAAACCCCAUCUUUACUAAAAAACACAAAAAUUAGCCAGGCAUGGUAGCAUGCACCUGUAAUCCCAGCUACUCGGGAGGCUGAGGCAGGAGAACCACUUGAAUUCGGUAGGCAGAGGUUGCAGUGAGCUGAGACUGCGCCACUGCACUCCAGCCUGGGUGACAGAGCGAGACUCUGUCUCAAAAAAAAAAAAAAGGAACAUAACAUAAA